CUACAUCCUCUCUCAGAGCCUCGUAGUCGAUGUCGCGGACUUCGAGACUCCAAAACGGCGCAGUUUAGAUUCCAGAAGCAGUGCGGUUUGGGUUUUGAAGGCCCACGUCAUGGAAGAAAUGGUCAUUUCAACGACCAUUGGUAUGGAUGGAAUUUCACUUGCCUCCAAAGAGGCAAUUGUUAAAGAGUCAUCUGUCAUUAUUUUUCUUGUUGAUGGCCAGGGUGAGAUCAUAAUUUUGAUUGAAGAAUUAGGAAAGAAUUGUUGGCAUAAAUUUUGUGUUGAUACGUCACCACGGCGAUUAUGGAACAAAUGACAAUUGCAUUCCAGAUGUCUUCCUUGAUUUGUAAUUUGUUUGCAACAACGGUAGAUUUUCAAACUUGGAAUGUUCUUUCACAAGGCAAGAGGUUCCAAGCUAUCAUUAGAGAUGGGAACAGAGAAAGACUUGCAGCUCGAUGCUUAAAGCAAUGUGAUGGUAGCUAUAGAGUUAUUUAUGAUCUUUGUGGUAGAUGAUACUGGGAAUUAAAUUCCACUUUUAAACUGAUAUCAAAAGUACCUUAUGUUAUAUGAUAUUCUUCAUUUAUACUU